GGGCUCGUGCGUUGCCCGCCAUCCUCCCGCCGCUCACUCGCUCUCCCUCUCCCGCCCCGGGGUGGCCCGGGUCCCGGGGGCAGAGCCACCGUGCGGUCCGCGGUCUCGGGACCUAGAGGGGGCUUCAGACAUCACCCUGAGAAAGGAGACACGCAAGUGCUACAGUUAAAUUUCUACUACUUUGAGAAAGUGAGAAAGGAGACCAGCGAGCAGCGAACUGCAUGCGGGAGGCGCACGAGGCAUUUGGGAUUGAAGGUUCCAUAAGGCAGAAUUUCUGGAGUUCUUUUUUUUAAAAAAAUCUUUUGAUAAUCUUUGAUCUCCAUUCAGGUUUUCCUCUAUUGAAAAUACAUACUGCUAAAAAUAAAAAUAUACUUGCUUUAUUUACCAAUUUUUCUAAAAGGCAAAAAGGUCAUAAAAAGACACAAGCAGUCAAACAAAUAUAUUGCACUGAGUGAAGAAAGUUUGGUUCGCACACGAACAAACCGCUUGUUCGGCAAGGCCCGGCAAAUCAUUACACAAACUCUGAGAGCUUAUUUACAUACCUUUUUAGGAAUAUAUUAAAAAGAAGGCUCAGUUUAAAA